AUACGUAGGGGGCGAGCGUUGUCCGGAAUGAUUGGGCGUAAAGGGCGCGUAGGCGGCCCGGUAAGUCUGGAGUGAAAGUCCUGCUUAUAAGGUGGGAAUUGCUUUGGAUACUGUCGGGCUUGAGUGCAGGAGAGGUAAGUGGAAUUCCCAGUGUAGCGGUGAAAUGCGUAGAGAUUGGGAGGAACACCAGUGGCGAAGGCGACUUACUGGACUGUAACUGACGCUGAGGCGCGAAAGUGUGGGGAGCAAACAGGAUUAGAUACCCUGGUAGUCCACACUGUAAACGAUGAAUGCUAGGUGUAGGGGGUAUCGACCCCUUCUGUGCCGCAGUUAACACAAUAAGCAUUCCGCCUGGGGAGUACGGCCGCAAGGUUGAAACUCAAAUGAAUUGACGGGG
rnacentral:rRNA from 1 species